UCGCGGUUAGGGAGCGGGACACGAGUCUCCUCUGAAUACUUUAGUGAACUAUAUAUCUGCAUCCUCCUCCCUCUCCUGAGUCACUCUACACAUGGACCGCUGUGAUGCUAACCGCUGAGGGCCGAGGCUGACUGUGUGCUAACCAUGAGCUGAGACACAUUGUGCGCUCUAACACUCGUGACGGUCAUGUUGCACGCUGGUGUGACGACAGUUGAGACUUCACUAAAGGCUGUUUGCUGCCAUUUAAAUAUGUCUCAUUCCUCCUCCACCUGUUCCACUACCAACACCUCUUGUCGUUCCUCCAACAACCCUCCUAGCACCACCACUCCUCCCUCCUCCACCUCCUCCUCCUCCUCUCUCUACUCCUCCAGCCUUCCUCCUCACAGCCACGCCACCUUCCAUCAGUACUGCUGCCCCGCGCGCCUCCGCCUGCCCCCCGCCAAGCACCACGAGCAGGCAAGAGAGGAUGAAGAUGACGACAACGCCCAUCAGUUCUGUUGCCCCGCCUCUGAGUGCAGUAGCCCCUCCUCUAGGUAACCGGGGGCGACCGUGAGCCACUCCCCCGCCGCCCCCGACUCUCUUGCAGGAAGCUGUGGAGGACCUUCAACACAGCAACAGGACAAUGUGGGCUUUUCAAAAUAAAAGCUUGUUCCAGAA